AGAGUUUGAUCCUGGCUCAGGACGAACGCUGGCGGCGUGCCUAAUACAUGCAAGUCGAACGCUUCUUUUUCCACCGGAGCUUGCUCCACCGGAAAAAGAAGAGUGGCGAACGGGUGAGUAACACGUGGGUAACCUGCCCAUCAGAAGGGGAUAACACUUGGAAACAGGUGCUAAUACCGUAUAACAAUCAAAACCGCAUGGUUUUGAUUUGAAAGGCGCUUUCGGGUGUCGCUGAUGGAUGGACCCGCGGUGCAUUAGCUAGUUGGUGAGGUAACGGCUCACCAAGGCCACGAUGCAUAGCCGACCUGAGAGGGUGAUCGGCCACAUUGGGACUGAGACACGGCCCAAACUCCUACGGGAGGCAGCAGUAGGGAAUCUUCGGCAAUGGACGAAAGUCUGACCGAGCAACGCCGCGUGAGUGAAGAAGGUUUUCGGAUCGUAAAACUCUGUUGUUAGAGAAGAACAAGGAUGAGAGUAACUGUUCAUCCCUUGACGGUAUCUAACCAGAAAGCCACGGCUAACUACGUGCCAGCAGCCGCGGUAAUACGUAGGUGGCAAGCGUUGUCCGGAUUUAUUGGGCGUAAAGCGAGCGCAGGUGGUUUCUUAAGUCUGAUGUGAAAGCCCCCGGCUCAACCGGGGAGGGUCAUUGGAAACUGGGAGACUUGAGUGCAGAAGAGGAGAGUGGAAUUCCAUGUGUAGCGGUGAAAUGCGUAGAUAUAUGGAGGAACACCAGUGGCGAAGGCGGCUCUCUGGUCUGUAACUGACGCUGAGGCUCGAAAGCGUGGGGAGCAAACAGGAUUAGAUACCCUGGUAGUCCACGCCGUAAACGAUGAGUGCUAAGUGGUGGAGGGUUUCCGCCCUUCAGUGCUGCAGCUAACGCAUUAAGCACUCCGCCUGGGGAGUACGACCGCAAGGUUGAAACUCAAAGGAAUUGACGGGGGCCCGCACAAGCGG
rnacentral:rRNA from 1 species